rnacentral:snoRNA from 1 species
AAUCCCAUUUAUUUGCUUCUAUGCUAAGUCAGUGGUAUGAGUAGUUAUACACAUGGGAAAGAGCAUAUAAGUCCACUGCAAAUCUACUAGUAUUUCAUCUCACCUGCUGGGGCUGGACAACU